UACGGGAGCAGCAGUGGGAAUUUUGGACAAUGGGCGAAAGCCUGAUCCAGCAAUACCGCGUGCAGGAAGAAGGCCUUCGGGUUGUAAACUGCUUUUGUACGGAACGAAACGGUCUGGAUUAAUACUCUGGGCUAAUGACGGUACCGUAAGAAUAAGCACCGGCUAACUACGUGCCAGCAGCCGCGGUAAUACGUAGGGUGCAAGCGUUAAUCGGAAUUACUGGGCGUAAAGCGUGCGCAGGCGGUUUUGUAAGACAGGCGUGAAAUCCCCGGGCUCAACCUGGGAAUUGCGCUUGUGACUGCAAGGCUAGAGUACGGUAGAGGGGGGUAGAAUUCCGCGUGUAGCAGUGAAAUGCGUAGAUAUGCGGAGGAACACCGAUGGCGAAGGCAGCCCUCUGGACCUGUACUGACGCUCAUGCACGAAAGCGUGGGGAGCAAACAGGAUUAGAUACCCUGGUAGUCCACGCCCUAAACGAUGUCAACUGGUUGUUGGGAAUUUACUUUCUCAGUAACGAAGCUAACGCGUGAAGUUGACCGCCUGGAGAGUACGGCCGCAAGGUUG
rnacentral:rRNA from 1 species